CAAAACAAGCCAGCACCAAUGCUCCACAAAUAAGGAACUUUGUACGAGAUAGCGUGAACAACCGUCGAUAAUAGUUCGGGCGCACGACUUGGAAAUACCGAUUGAUUGCGGUGGCAGCCAUGAGCAGUAUAGAUGCGUGUGCGAGGGAUGCCAUGUAGAAGCCUUGAAUCUGGCAGACAAAGAAAAUGGCCAUUCUCCAAGUACCAACACUGGAUAUGUAAAAAAACGGGACAAGAAUGUUACCAAUCAGCCCUACCAGGCUUAGUAUGAUGAACACAAGAGACUCAAUAACGACGCGAGCCGUUCCCCUUGACAAAAAGUUCUCUUGAGGCGCGUUUAACCGUUUAUCUGCAGAAGACAUAUUCAUUUCUAGUCCUGCAACCGAUUCUACUGAAGGCGAAAAUAAGCGUCUUAAACGAAUGUGAGGCAAAUUAAACAAUGUUUAUUAAUUU